rnacentral:rRNA from 1 species
AGAGUUCGAUCCUGGCUCAGGAUGAACGCUGGCGGCGUGCUUAACACAUGCAAGUCGAACGAGAAAUGGAGAUGGAAACCUUCGGGCGGAAGCCUUCAUUUCGAGUGGCGGACGGGUGAGUAACGCGUGGGUAACCUGCCUCAUACAGGGGGAUAACAGUUGGAAACGACUGUUAAUACCGCAUAAGACCACAGCACCGCAUGGUGCGGGGGUAAAAACUCCGGUGGUAUGAGAUGGACCCGCGUUCGAUUAGCCAGUUGGCGGGGUAACGGCCCACCAAAGCGACGAUCGAUAGCCGAUCUGAGAGGAUGACCGGCCACAUUGGGACUGAGACACGGCCCAAACUCCUACGGGAGGCAGCAGUGGGGAAUAUUGCACAAUGGGGGAAACCCUGAUGCAGCGACGCCGCGUGAGUGAAGAAGUAUUUCGGUAUGUAAAGCUCUAUCAGCAGGGAAGAAAAUGACGGUACCUGACUAAGAAGCCCCGGCUAACUACGUGCCAGCAGCCGCGGUAAUACGUAGGGGGCAAGCGUUAUCCGGAUUUACUGGGUGUAAAGGGAGCGCAGACGGUUGCGCAAGUCUGAAGUGAAAUCCCGAGGCUUAACCACGGGACUGCUUUGGAAACUGUGCGACUUGAGUAUCGGAGGGGCAGGCGGAAUUCCUAGUGUAGCGGUGAAAUGCGUAGAUAUUAGGAAGAACACCGGUGGCGAAGGCGGCCUGCUGGACGAAAACUGACGUUGAGGCUCGAAGGCGUGGGGAGCAAACAGGAUUAGAUACCCUGGUAGUCCACGCGGUAAACGAUGAAUACUAGGUGUUGGUGCCCAAAGGGCAUCGGUGCCGUCGCAAACGCAAUAAGUAUUCCACCUGGGGAGUACGUUCGCAAGAAUGAAACUCAAAGGAAUUGACG